rnacentral:rRNA from 1 species
UCCGCUGAGGAUGGCUUUUCCCCAUUGUAUAAAGCUGGGGGAAUAAGGAGAGGGCAAGACUGGUGUCAGCCGCCGCGGUAAUACCAGCUCUCCGAGUGGUGGGGACGUUUAUUGGGCCUAAAGCAUCCGUAGCCUGUUGGGAAAGUCCUCCGUUAAAUCCACCGAUUCAAUCGGUGGGCUGCGGGGGAUACUGUUCAACUAGGGAGCGGGAGAGGCUGACAGUAUUACCGGGGUAGGGGUGAAAUCCUAUAAUCCCGAGAGGACCACCAGUGGCGAAGGCUGUCAG